CCUACGGGAGGCAGCAGUGAGGAAUAUUGGGCAAUGGCCGGAAGGCUGAACCAGCCAUGCCGCGUGCAGGUCAGUGCCCUAUGGGCGGUAAACUUCUGUUGUCCGGGAGCAAUGAUGGUUACGUGUGGCCAGACGAGAGUACCGUACGAAUAAGCAUCGGCUAAAUCCGUGCCAGCAGCCGCGGCAAUGCGGGUGAUGCAAGCGUUAGCCGGAUUUAGUGGGUUUGAAGGGUGCGUAGGCUGGGAGGUAAGUCAGCGUUGAAAUGCCCCCGCUCAACGGGGUGAAGUGCCAUUGAUACUGGCGUGCUGGAAUGCGGAUGACGAUAGAGGAAU
rnacentral:rRNA from 1 species